UACGUAGGGACCGAGCGUUGUCCGGAAUCAUUGGGCGUAAAGAGCGUUUAGGCGGCUUGCUAAGUCUUGCGUGAAAUCUCGGGGCUCAACCCCGAGCGGUCGUGGGAAACUGGCAGGCUAGAGUGCGGGAGAGGAGAAUGGAAUUCCUGGUGUAGCGGUGAAAUGCGCAGAUAUCAGGAAGAACACCCGUGGCGAAGGCGGUUCUCUGGAACGCAACUGACGCUGAGAUGCGAAAGCGUGGGGAGCAAACAGG
rnacentral:rRNA from 1 species